GUGUACCUGAGCUGAGCGGUGCUCGGUGGCCGCUUGGCUGUGGCUGACACUGAGCAGCAGAGCGGUUGGGCUCAGCGCCCGUCUCCGGUGGGUGAGCAGCAGAGAGGAGAGGAGAGGAGAGGAGGAGGAGGACUAUGCACCGCUGGAAACCUACAGCAAUUCCUGAAACCCACCAAAUGGCUUAUCGCAGCAGCAAUCAAUAGCGUCUCCUACAGGAGCACUGCGCCAUCAGCACCACCUCACCUCAUCUCUGUCUCAUUCUCAGGAUUAACAGGAAUCAAAAUGAGAAGAAUCCCUGUCCCUCGUGACUGGUCUGCUCUUUGGAGUUCUGCUCUGUCAUCAACAGUGCUCUGAUGUACUGCUGACCCAUCCACCUGUCUCAGGCACUGCACAACAGGGACUGCCAUAGAGGAUUGACUGAAUUCCAUCGCCAUGCACGACACCUUGGAGAAGGCUUGACUCCAAAGAGGUUACCUCCCUCCUCCCCAGGAGCACAUUAUUUUGAAGAAGAUAUCUUCCACCAGAAAGAAAACACUGCAUAUUUGCUUUAGUGUAGUAUUUUCCCUCCCAUAGAAGUUUACUUUUUCAACAACAACUUGCAUUUAUAUAGCGCCCUCCACGCAGGGUAGCAUCUCGGAGGGCUUCAGCCCAAUGUCACAGCCCAAUGUCAAAGAAUGGAGGACAGUUCCACUUGAGCCAGAGGCGCUCUAUUCACAUGCAUGAAGUCAGCACUUUCCAUUGGCCUUCAGGCUGACCUGGAAACAGCAAGCUGGAAGAAAAUGAGUGCAAUAGUCCUUUAGUCAUUAUUUCUCCUUUAACGUUAUGUUGAUUCGCUCAUUUU